rnacentral:lncRNA from 1 species
UUCAUGAAGAAACCCUAACUGUUAGCCUUCUCCUUAGCCAAACUAACCUUAGCCGACCCCUCUGCCAUCACCUGAACCCCUCCCCGACACCACCGCGCGCGUCACGGCCGCCGGUGAGCAGCCCCGGCCGCCGGAAAAGCCAUCCCGACCUUACAUUCACCUUCCUCUCUCUCCAUCUUCCUCCCUCCUCCUCUUUCUCUCGGGUUAGAGCUAGGCCGAGGCUACAUCACCUCCAGACCCUUCGCCGGCAUCGCCCCGUGCCCCGGCGAGCCUCCCCGCCGGCCGUCGCCGCCUUCCUGCGCCGCCGCUGCUGGUUCUGCAGCCUGCGGCUACCCCAGC